UAACGCGUAGGUAACCUACCUCAUAGCGGGGGAUAACUAUUGGAAACGAUAGCUAAUACCGCAUAAGAGAGACUAACGCAUGUUAGUAAUUUAAAAGGGGCAAUUGCUCCACUAUGAGAUGGACCUGCGUUGUAUUAGCUAGUUGGUGAGGUAAAGGCUCACCAAGGCGACGAUACAUAGCCGACCUGAGAGGGUGAUCGGCCACACUGGGACUGAGACACGGCACAG
rnacentral:rRNA from 1 species